rnacentral:rRNA from 1 species
CCUACGGGAGGCAGCAGUGAGGAAUAUUGGUCAAUGGACGAGAGUCUGAACCAGCCAAGUAGCGUGAAGGAUGACUGCCCUAUGGGUUGUAAACUUCUUUUAUAAAGGAAUAAAACGAGGCACGUGUGCCUUUUCGCCUUUACUUUAUGAAUUAGGAUCGGCUAACUCCGCGCCAGCCGCCGCGGUAAUACGGAGGAUACGAGCGUUAUCCGGAUGUAUUGGGUUUAAAGGGAGCGUAGAUGGGUUGUUAAGUCAGUUGUGAAAGUUUGCGGCUCAACCGUAAAAUUGCAAUUGAUACUGGCAGUCUUGAGUGCAGUUGAGGUAGGCGGAAUUCGUGGUGUAGCGGUGAAAUGCUUAGAGAUCACGAAGAACCCCGAUGGCGAAGGCAGCUUACUAAACUGUGACUGACAUUGAUGCGCGAAAGUGUGGGUAUCAAACAGGAUUAGAUACCCCAGUAGUC